UCUUGGUCAUUUAGAGGAAGUAAAAGUCGUAACAAGGUUUCCGUAGGUGAACCUGCGGAAGGAUCAUUAUCGUCAACGGGGGGCCCGAGGGCUGUCGCUGACUCCAAGGGGGUCGUGCACGCCCUCGGCGUCAUCCCAACAACCAAUCCAUCUCACCUUUGUGCAUCACCGCGUGGGUUUCGAUCAGGUCUAUUGACCUGAAAGGGGCUCACGCCUUUUUACAAACAAACACCCUUCUGAUUCAGUGUAGAAUGUUCUUUGCCUUUGUAUGCAAUCAAUACAACUUUCAACAACGGAUCUCUUGGCUCUCGCAUCGAUGAAGAACGCAGCGAAAUGCGAUACGUAAUGUGAAUUGCAGAAUUCAGUGAAUCAUCGAAUCUUUGAACGCACCUUGCGCCCCUUGGCAUUCCGAGGGGCACACCCGUUUGAGUGUCGUGAAAUCCUCAACCUUUUUCUGUUUCUCUCUGAUUCGGAGAAAGGCUUGGAACUUGGAGGCUUUUGCUGGCCUCUCCCUCGAAGCCAGCUCCUCUUAAAUGCAUUAGCAGGGUCUCCUGAGCUGAUCCCUUGACGUGAUAAGCCAUUUUCUUACGUCCGGGGGUUUUUUUGCCUUUAAUGGCGGAGGCCUGCUUCUAACCGUCUCGUCUGAGACAAAGGACAAAACACCUCUUGACCUCAAAUCGGGUGAGACUACCCGCUGAACUUAAGCAUAUCAAUAAGCGGAGGAAAAGAAACUAACAAGGAUUCCCCUAGUAACUGCGAGUGAAGCGGGAAAAGCUCAAAUUUAAAAUCUGGGGUCUUUGGCCGUUCCGAGUUGUAAUUAGAGAAGCGUCUUCCGCGCUGGACCGUGA
rnacentral:sRNA from 1 species